rnacentral:rRNA from 1 species
AUGGUGGCGUGGAGGGAGAGCUACCUGGACCUGAUCCUGAUCCCGCUGGGCCUGCUGCUGCCGGCGCUGUACCACGCCUGGCUGUGGCGGGCCGUGCGGCGCCGCCCGCUCUCCACGGCCUUCGGGGUCUACUCGGCGGCGCGCAGGCUCUGGGCGGCCGGCAUGAUGCGGGACAACGACGACAAGAAGGGGGUGCUGGUUGUGCAGUCGCUGCGGAACGUCAUCAUGGGGUCCACGCUCAUGGCCACCACGUCGGUGCUCUUCUGCACGGGCAUCGCCGCCGUGCUCAGCAGCACCUACUCCGUCAAGAAGCCGCUGAGCGACGCCGUGUUCGGCGCGCACGGGGAGUACAUGAUGGCGCUCAAGUACGUGGCGCUGCUGCUCGUCUUCCUCUUCGCCUUCCUCUGCCACACCCUCACCAUCUGCUUCCUCAACCAAGCCAGCUUCCUCAUCAACACCUCCUGCCUCCCCCUCCCCGACGCCGGUAAGGACGACGACGGCGCCCGCCUGGUCGGCCUGCAGCUGCCGGCCGGCGCCGUCGGCGACUACGUGGGCGAGAUCCUGGAGAGGAGCUUCACGCUCAACUUCAUCGGCAACAGGCUCUUCUACGCCGGGGUGCCCCUCCUGCUCUGGAUCUUCGGCCCGGUGCUCGCCUUCCUCUCCGCCGUGGUCAUGAUCCCCAUACUCUACAACCUCGACAUGGUUAACGUCGCCGCCGACAGAGGAACGAAGGAACACAGCAGCGGCUGCGUCAACGGCAAGGCGAACGGGAACGGCUGCAUGCAAGUCUGA